AUGGAGACCUUAAUCCUAAUUCUUUGCAUCUUUUCAAUGCUGAAGCAGGGAGUCCUCUCUGAAAUUAAGCUGACAGAGUCUGGGAAAGGAACAGUCAAGCCUGGGAAGUCCUUAAGAUUGACCUGCACAGUCUCUGGGACCUCCAUCACCAAAGAAUCUAGUUACCAUUGGAUCCGCCAGCCACCUCACAAAGGGCUGGAAUGGAUUGGAAUGGGAUACUACGUCAGCGCUGCUGGUUAUGAUGAUGAUGACGGCAGAUUAUUCUGGAACGCUCAGUAUGCCUCCGCCUUCCAGAGCAGGGUCUCCAUCCAUGACAACUCCAAGAAUGAGUUUUCUCUCCAGCUGAACUCCCUGACAGCUGCAGACAGGGCCAUCUAUUAUUGUGCCCGACAACCACAGUGA